AGACCCGGUGUGCACACAAUCUCCAAAGCUCUUGUUUUUACUCUUCCCUCUUAUCUCUUUGUAGUAAUGAUGAAACUUCUGGUCCUGAAAGCCAGUCCUCAGGCGCUGAAACAAAGAAGGCUGGAACUCCCAAAGAGGAACAAUCUCUUGUGAAAACAGCCUGGACUGAAAACACGCGUCCCCCAGAGGGCGCCAAAGACGUGCCACCACCUUCCCCUGCUGUCCGCCCGCCACCGCCUCCACCACCUCCACCUCCAAACAGGGGCAACUGGGGGCAGCCCAAUGAUUUCCCGGACCGCUCACUGCGUCCACUUCCUCCUGAAGAUGAGGAUGAAGCUUGGCGCCAGCGCCGAAAGCAAUCUUCGUCAGAGAUUUCUGCUGCGGUGGAGCGGGCCCGACGUCGGAGGGAGGAGGAGGAACGGCGCAUGCAAGAGGAACGGCGAGCCGCCUGCGCCGAGAAGCUCAAGCGACUGGACGAGAAAUUUGGCGCCCCCGACAAGCGCCUGAAGCCGGAACCUGCCAAAGAGCCCCCUGCUCCUCCUCCCCCUCCCGCCCCAGUGCCACCCAAUCCAUUGGCUGCCCCAGGCUCCCCAGAAGAAAAAAAAGAGGAGCUGGUUUUGGCUAACAAACCUCACAACGCGGCUGCCAGUGUCAGUGGCGGCGGUGUCAGCGGCAACAGCAGCAAUGGGAGCAACUUGGACUCAACCGCUCUUGUAGCUGAAUCCCCUCUGCCUCCGCCCCCUCCUCCCAAGGAAGUUCCAGAAGUGAGGGAAGAGCAACCAGCCUUACCUGGACCCAUGCUUCCAGCAGUGCCCAUCUCUGCCAAGGUGGAGCCCAAAGGAGAAAUGGUUCUCCCAGCUCGCCAGCCAAUUCCGGCUCAGACCCUUGGCUAUUCAAAAUAUCAGAAGUCCUUACCACCUCGAUUCCAGCGGCAACAGCAGGUAAAGUAUGAGAUGUCUGAGAAGAAACAGCCAGGAGACCUUGUUAGGUCGAGGUCUGAUUAAGGAUUUGGUACCUGCUGAUGUCCCCACAGCUGCUGAAACAACAUAGCUAGCAGUUGCUUGUGCAAGCAAGAGCUGUGUCAGACCUGUUCCAGCUUAG
rnacentral:lncRNA from 1 species